rnacentral:misc_RNA from 1 species
GAUGAAGAACGCAGCGAAAUGCGAUAAGUAAUGUGAAUUGCAGAAUUCAGUGAAUCAUCGAAUCUUUGAACGCACAUUGCGCCCGCCAGUAUUCUGGCGGGCAUGCCUGUCUGAGCGUCAUUUCAACCCUCGAGCCCAUUUGGACUCGGUGUUGGGAGUCAGCCGUCCUAGUGGCGGCUGGUCCCGAAAUUUAGUGGCGGUCUCGCUGUAAACUCCUCUGCGUAGUAGUAAAAUCUCGUAGGCGGAGAGCGGUGUUUCCAUGCCGUAAAACCCCAUAUUUAUCAAGGUUGACCUCAGAUCAGGUAGGAAUACCCGCUGAACUUAAGCAUAUCAAUAAGCGGAGGA